rnacentral:rRNA from 1 species
GUUAAGCGACUAAGCGUACACGGUGGAUGCCCUGGCAGUCAGAGGCGAUGAAGGACGUGCUAAUCUGCGAUAAGCGUCGGUAAGGUGAUAUGAACCGUUAUAACCGGCGAUUUCCGAAUGGGGAAACCCAGUGUGUUUCGACACACUAUCAUUAACUGAAUCCAUAGGUUAAUGAGGCGAACCGGGGGAACUGAAACAUCUAAGUACCCCGAGGAAAAGAAAUCAACCGAGAUUCCCCCAGUAGCGGCGAGCGAACGGGGAGCAGCCCAGAGCCUGAAUCAGUGUGUGUGUUAGUGGAAGCGUCUGGAAAGGCGCGCGAUACAGGGUGACAGCCCCGUACACAAAAAUGCACAUGCUGUGAGCUCGAUGAGUAGGGCGGGACACGUGGUAUCCUGUCUGAAUAUGGGGGGACCAUCCUCCAAGGCUAAAUACUCCUGACUGACCGAUAGUGAACCAGUACCGUGAGGGAAAGGCGAAAAGAACCCCGGCGAGGGGAGUGAAAAAGAACCUGAAACCGUGUACGUACAAGCAGUGGGAGCACGCUUAGGCGUGUGACUGCGUACCUUUUGUAUAAUGGGUCAGCGACUUAUAUUCUGUAGCAAGGUUAACCGAAUAGGGGAGCCGAAGGGAAACCGAGUCUUAACUGGGCGUUAAGUUGCAGGGUAUAGACCCGAAACCCGGUGAUCUAGCCAUGGGCAGGUUGAAGGUUGGGUAACACUAACUGGAGGACCGAACCGACUAAUGUUGAAAAAUUAGCGGAUGACUUGUGGCUGGGGGUGAAAGGCCAAUCAAACCGGGAGAUAGCUGGUUCUCCCCGAAAGCUAUUUAGGUAGCGCCUCGUGAAUUCAUCUCCGGGGGUAGAGCACUGUUUCGGCAAGGGGGUCAUCCCGACUUACCAACCCGAUGCAAACUGCGAAUACCGGAGAAUGUUAUCACGGGAGACACACGGCGGGUGCUAACGUCCGUCGUGAAGAGGGAAACAACCCAGACCGCCAGCUAAGGUCCCAAAGUCAUGGUUAAGUGGGAAACGAUGUGGGAAGGCCCAGACAGCCAGGAUGUUGGCUUAGAAGCAGCCAUCAUUUAAAGAAAGCGUAAUAGCUCACUGGUCGAGUCGGCCUGCGCGGAAGAUGUAACGGGGCUAAACCAUGCACCGAAGCUGCGGCAGCGACACUAUGUGUUGUUGGGUAGGGGAGCGUUCUGUAAG